rnacentral:rRNA from 1 species
UACAGAGGGUGCGAGCGUUGUUCGGAAUUACUGGGCGUAAAGCGCGUGUAGGCGGUCCACUAAGUCGGCUGUGAAAGUCCAGGGCUCAACCCUGGGAUGCCGGUCGAUACUGGUGGACUAGAGUCCGGAAGAGGCGAGUGGAAUUCCAGGUGUAGCGGUGAAAUGCGUAGAUAUCUGGAGGAAUACCGGUGGCGAAGGCGGCAUCCUGGACCGGCAUUGACGCUGAGGAGCGAAAGCCAGGGGAGCAAACGGG